UCAGAUCCUGGGAUAUAAGGACACUGUAGAAGGGGCCACAUGGAGACCAGGCUAUCAAGCUGCCUAACAUUACCUAAUGCCUUCUAGGCACACCUCCUCUGUCUGUAUGGCUACCUAGUCUGAUCUUUCUUGCCAGACUGACUGUAAAUGGUUCAGCCCUUCCAAAGUAACCAUGGACCUCUGGGGCUGUUGUGGACUAUCCCUAAACCUUUUUGGAGUUCAAGGAGUGACUAGAUGGAUGGAUGAAAACUGAAAUUUCCAAGUACUGGUACAGACGCUUCCUUCUCUCCAGAGAUGAAAGGAGACUCAGGUAUAAAGCCACAAGAAGACAGGGAAUUGUACAAACAUCAUUGAGGGGGAAGGCUCUACAAAAGGUAGUGACUUCAUUUAUUUUUUCCAUUAAUAUUACAGAUAUUUCCUGACAGAGGACUUGGUUCCUUGGUAGGAGAGAGAGGUAUGCUGUUUUGGGGUCCAUUGUCGGAUGACCCCUCUUUCUUUUUACCGGGAAGUUACUCAAAUGGGAAGGGGUUUUGCCGUUUUCAUUUGGCAAAGAUCAUUUGGCACAGCUCGGGCUGUGGCGCAGGCUGGAGAGCAGCUGCAAUGAAUCACUGCAAUGAAUCACUCUGACCAGGAGGUCAUGAGUUCGAGGCCCGCUCGGAGCCUAUGUUUGUCUUGUCUUUGUUCUAUGUUAAAAGGCAUUGAAUGUUUGCCUAUAUGUGUAAUGUGAUCCGCCCUGAGUCCCCUUCGGGGUGAGAAGAGCAGAAUAUAAAUGCUGUAAAUAAAUAAAUAAAUAAAUAAGAUACAGCCUAUUGGCUACAACAGGAAACUUUAAAGGCUCAGUCCUCAGCCAUUUGAAGGCCUAUCUGCAUGAAACCUACCUCAAUUUUAGAACCUAUUCACAACUGCAGGCCUGCCAAGUUUCAAAACAAUUCACUAAUCUGCUCAUUUUUUAGAAUUAUUUUAAGUUUUAACCAUUCUCAGCCAACAGAGCAUGGGCACCACUAGGUGUUUUAUUGGCUGAGAAACAGAGAGAGAGAAAAAAACUUCAACUCCCAUCAUACUCCAAGAGGAACUCAAUUCAAUGCCCGCCCCAUGAAAGUGCUGCUGGGAAAGUGAGUUCCCAGGGCCCUCUCUGGAGGAGGAGGGAACUUUCCAAGAAGAAAUGGAGGACGCUGUUUCUGCCGAGGACUGCAGCAUAUCCCUGCCUUAUUGCAGACUUAACUCAUUUUUCUCCAGAACCAAUAAAAUCUGUCUCUAUUAAUCCGUUUUGCUGGGCUUUUCAUCUCCCUCCUCCCCAUUCUGUAUUUGGAUACUAUAUGAAACGGCCCACCGAAAACUACAAAUAAUUUUUGUUCAAACUGAUUCAGCCCAAGUCUACUUAGUAGUAGUAGCAGUGGCAAGACUUCUGCUGGUCCUUCAUCUUAUCUCAAAACUGUUAGACCCCAGAGCAAAGAGUUAUUAAAUCAGUGGCAAGGGGCACAGAGAAAUAUAGUCUUACUUGGGGCCCUUUCAUCACACACGUUUAUUACUCUGUGGUUCAUAAGAACAUCCUGGCUCUGCAGGUGUUUGACCCUCCGGCUCCCAGAUGCUCUAGCCAGCUGUUCCAAUGACCAGGAAUUCUGGGAGCUGAAGUCCAAAACAUCUGGAGGUUGGCAGGUUGUGCAGGCCUGAUCUAGACCACCUUACCUCAACUGGACCACUGUCUUCUAAGUUCCUUUGGCUUUUAGGAAUUUUGCCCAUUUUGAUAAAGGUCUGGUUUAUAGAACUACACUUUUUUGGCUCAUUUCAUAUGGCAAAUGUAUAUUGAACCAUUCAACCUGUGUGAAUUAACUGAUCCACUACCUGAAAUCCUGUCAUAUUUACUACUCUUUGCUGCAAUUACAGUAGAGUCUCACUUAUCCAAGAUAAACGGGCCGGCAGAACAUUUGAUAAGUGAAAAUGUUAGAUAAUAAGGAGGGAUUAAGAAAAAAGCCUAUUAAACAUAAAAUUACAUUAUGAUUUUACAAAUUAAGCACCAAAACAUGUUUUACAACAAAUUGACAGAAAAAGCAGUUCAAUACACAGUAAUGUUAUGUAGUAAUUACUAUAUUUACGAAUGUAGUACCAAAACAUUGCAACAUUUACUAAAAAACAUUGACUACUAAAAGGCAGACUGUGUUGGAUAAUACAGAACAUUGGAUAAGUGAAACUUGGAUAAGUGAGACUCUACUGUACAUAUAUAGUUAGGACUUCAUCACAUUUACCUUCAGAACCUGUUCAUCAGAUGACAUAAAUGUCAGAUGUCAAUGAUCCGGAAAACUGAAGCUGGUGCAAAAUGUGGCGGCUCGUCUUCUCGCCGAGGUGCCAAUGAGGUGGCGUAUCACCCCAAUUCUACAACAGCUGCACUGGCUACCGAUUGAGUAACAGAUUACUUUCAAGAUACUGGUACUAACCUUUAAGGCCUUAUAUGGUUUGGAACCGGCGUACCUGAGGACCCGCUUAUCCCCCUACCAACCCCAGAGAUUACUUUGGUCCAAAGACCAAAAUUUGCUUGAAGUCCCUAACAUACGGACUUAUCAUUUGUCUUCCAUUAGGCAGAGAGCCUUCUCAAUUGUAGCCCCUCAUUUAUGGAAUGCCUUGCCAGUUGAAACUCGAACUAUCCGAGACCUACUUGCCUUUCGGAAAGCCUGCAAAACCUUUCUCUUCCGACAAGCUUUUGAUGGGUGAAAAACUUGGGGCUAUGUCUGUUUUUAUUGUUGUUUUUAUUGUUUUUAUUGUUAUUUUAAAGCUAAGUGUAUUGUUUUAAUCUAUUUCUGUAAACCGCUCCGAGCCAAACUGGGAGUAGCGGUAUACAAGUCUAAUAAAUAAAUAAAUAAAUAAAUAAAUAAAUAAAUAAGCUUCUUAUGGAAGCCCCUGCUCCAGUGUCAUAGAACACUUCUCUCCCAACAUGGGAGACUUCAAUGGAUCCGCACUCUUCUGUGCUGCCUGGACAGCUCUUCCCCUGUGCAUGGAGCAAUGGAUUUGCCCCAGCUGUCCCUCAUUUCAAUAGUGAAGGUAGCUGAAGUGGAUGCUUUGUCUGGCUAAUCUGAUAACCAGGUCAGAAAUAUUUCAGAUCUUGAUAUUUCAGGGUCAGACUUGAGGUCUAGGGAAGGUUCUUAGUGAUGUCAAAUUGGUGUUUGUGAAAAAGUGUAUAAUUAUAUUUUGUUUAUAGAUUAUAUGUGUAUUUGAUUUUGUUUAAACAGCCAGGUUUGGCUAAGUUAAAAUGGUGAGUAUUUAAGUUGACAAUAUGUAUGGGGGAAGGUAGCCAUCUUAGAGUGCUAGAACAGGUUACCAUAGCAACAGGGGCGGAGCCAACCGCCGCCUGGAAAGGAGAAGGGGGAAUAUUUUAAAACCCAGCAGUUGGUGAUUCUCUAGUCAUAGAGAAGGAUCUGAUUCUUGUGUGGAGAAUCAGGCUGGCUUAAAUAGAGAGAUUUGAGUCAGAUUUAGGUUGGACCAGACUAGGCAAGUUAGGUGAUUUGUCUAGGGUCAGUUAUAGAGCCUGUGGAUUAGGGAGAAUUAAUCCCAGGGGAUCCAGUAGGAUCAGGGUUUAGUGUAAUCUAAAGAAAGAAGUAUUUUGAAAGUUUAACCACCUUAUAACUGUUUGUAACCAUUAAGCGAAGUGCCUUUAAUAAGUUAUCUGAAACCAUCAAGCUCUGUACCUGCAAUAAACUUGUUUUGAUUUUAUUCUAA